AUAGUUAUGGUCUACUGUUAUAAGAAGAUUUCGGAGGAGCACGAAGCUCGGGAGGCCCGUAAAGCUCUCAAGGCUCAGGCACAACUAAUAGAAUCAAAAGACAACUGUGACGGGGUGCAGCUAGAGUAACACUACUGGUGAAAAAAGAUCAUCU